UACGGCGCAUUGCUGAUUGCGCCCAAGGAUCCAUUGACCGAAGUGAAAGCCGAUCUGGAUUACACGAUCCAGUUGCAGGAAUGGCUGAAACGCGAAUGGCUGACCUAUCCCGCCAUGUCGAUGGAAGGAGCGAUGCCNCUUCACCAUUAACGGCAAGGCCUAUCCUUCGACCGACACGAUUGCAAUGAAGGUCGGGCAAACCAUCAAGCUGCGGUUCAUCGGCACCAACAAUAACUUCAUUCAUCCCAUGCAUGUCCACGGCGGCCC
rnacentral:misc_RNA from 1 species